CAAUUGCUGAUUAUGGAAAUGACUCCAAUUGUUCAACCUCUCACAACUAUAUUUAGUCACCAAAAGCAAUCUAUCUGCUACUUUCAAAAGUUGUUAUACAAACAAGCAAUUUAUCCCUGCCUUCAUACACUGUAUACCUGAAGGCUAAUUCCUGCUCCAGAUGCUGUGAGGUCUGCCCAGCUGUUCCAAGUACAUACUAUUUGCAACAUAAACAGCACAUCCUGAAUAUUGUGCGGGUUGGGACUUUGCCAUUGAGACUAAAAUAUAUUUAGUGUCAGGAUUAAUCUUUGGCGGUCCAGCUUUUUGAAAUAUCCAAGAUGGGGGAUGCAUGGCAUCUAGGACUACUCUGAAUUAGUGGUAUUCUGCCUCGGGUUUUCUCAGACUUGGGGAGAAAGAAAAGAAUCUUCAUAAAAAUGGAAAAUUGUUCUUAGGUUUGUC